UACGUAGGGCGCAAGCGUUGUCCGGAAUUAUUGGGCGUAAAGAGCUCGUAGGCGGUUUGUCGCGUCUGCUGUGAAAACCUAAGGCUCAACCUUGGGCUUGCAGUGGGUACGGGCAGACUAGAGUGCGGUAGGGGUGACUGGAAUUCCUGGUGUAGCGGUGGAAUGCGCAGAUAUCAGGAGGAACACCGAUGGCGAAGGCAGGUCACUGGGCCGCAACUGACGCUGAGGAGCGAAAGCGUGGGUAGCAAACAGG
rnacentral:rRNA from 1 species